UGGGGAGCAAACAGGAUUAGAUACCCUGGUAGUCCACGCCCGUAAACGAUGUCGACUUGGAGGUUGUGCCCUUGAGGCGUGGCUUCCGGAGCUAACGCGUUAAGUCGACCGCCUGGGGAGUACGGCCGCAAGGUUAAAACUCAAAUGAAUUGACGGGGGCCCGCACAAGCGGUGGAGCAUGUGGUUUAAUUCGAUGCAACGCGAAGAACCUUACCUACUCUUGACAUCCAGAGAACUUAGCAGAGAUGCUUUGGUGCCUUCGGGAACUCUGAGACAGGUGCUGCAUGGCUGUCGUCAGCUCGUGUUGUGAAAUGUUGGGUUAAGUCCCGCAACGAGCGCAACCCUUAUCCUUUGUUGCCAGCGGUUAGGCCGGGAACUCAAAGGAGACUGCCAGUGAUAAACUGGAGGAAGGUGGGGAUGACGUCAAGUCAUCAUGGCCCUUACGAGUAGGGCUACACACGUGCUACAAUGGCGCAUACAAAGAGAAGCGACCUCGCGAGAGCAAGCGGACCUCAUAAAGUGCGUCGUAGUCCGGAUUGGAGUCUGCAACUCGACUCCAUGAAGUCGGAAUCGCUAGUAAUCGUGGAUCAGAAUGCCACGGUGAAUACGUUCCCGGGCCUUGUACACACCGCCCGUCACACCAUGGGAGUGGGUUGCAAAAGAAGUAGGUAGCU
rnacentral:rRNA from 1 species